GCAAACUUGGUCAUUUAGAGGAAGUAAAAGUCGUAACAAGGUUUCCGUAGGUGAACCUGCGGAAGGAUCAUUAAAAAUUUUAAUUAUCCUGUUAAAUUUUUAUAUGGAUAAUAAAUCCAUAUUCAUUUCGUGUGCAUCUAUCGAUUGUAUACUUUGACAGAUUUUUUUCUUUCUUGAUUUUAUUUCAGAAAGAUAUGGAGAUCGAAAUCUCGGGGUCUGUCAAAGUUUUCCUUUUCUUUCUCCUGAAUCCUUUAAAAUUCUGAAAACCUUAAUGUAAUAUAAAUCAAAUACAACUUUCAACAACGGAUCUCUUGGCUCUCGCAUCGAUGAAGAACGCAGC
rnacentral:misc_RNA from 1 species